CCUACGGGGGGCUGCAGUGGGGAAUAUUGCACAAUGGGGGAAACCCUGAUGCAGCGACGCCGCGUGAAGGAAGAAGGUUUUCGGAUCGUAAACUUCUAUCAGCAGGUAAGAAGAAAGUGACAGUACCUGACUAAGAAGCCCCGGCUAACUACGUGCCAACAACCGCGGUAAUACGUAGGGGGCAAGGGUUAUCCGGAAGCACUGGGUGGAAAGGGUGCGUAGGCGGGAGGGCAAGUCAGAUGUGAAAGCCCGGGGCUCAACCCCGGGAUUGCAUUUGGAACUGUCUUACUAGAGUGCAGGAGAGGAAAGCGGAAUUCCUAGUGUAGCGGUGAAGUGCGUAGAUAUUAGGAAGAACCCCAGUGGCGAAGGCGGCUUUCUGGACUGUAACUGACGCUGAGGCACGAAAGCGUGGGGAGCGAACAGGAUUAGGUACCCCGGUAGUC
rnacentral:rRNA from 1 species